AACCCAUGGUGAGGACACCUCCGUAAGAGGUCCUUAUACCUCUCCCAAGCAUCAUAAAGUGACUCCAUAUCUUGUUGGAAAAAAUUAAUGAUGUCACUCCUCAUCUU